CUCCUCGUUUGUUCGUCAUCUUCCCCCCCAAAGCCCCUCCUCCCUCACUGCCCAAGCCCCGCUUCUCCCCUCCAAUGGCUUUGCUCUUUCUAUCCCCUGCCCUCUCCCCAAAACCCCCCUUCCACUCCACCCUCCGGUCAACGUGGCCGCGCCGCGCCACCUGUAUCAGCGGAAGCAGCACCGUCUCCUCCCCUCUCCGUCCCACCGCGGCGGCGUCUCCCCCAUCUACCUCCUCGCCGUACAAGGCGCCGGCGUUGGACGGCGGCACGGAGAGAAGGAAGAAGAAGAGGAGGAACCUGAAGCCGAGCUUCGAGGAGCAGGCCCUCCGCCGCUGGUCCGCGAGGGCCCCCUCCCAGCGUGCCUCCUUCCCCUGGCAGCGGCAGCAGCAGCCGCAGCCGGCUCACCGAGAAAACGAAGACGCGCACGAUGAAGAUCCCAGUAGCGACACGUUGCGGUCCAUCGUGGAGUACUUCGACUAUGACUCCUCGGAUGAUGGCGAUGUUGGCCUUGAUGUGCGAGGACACGAAGGAGCAGGCAUGGGCAAGGAUGGCGUGGCCCACGGCGAAGCGGCCCAGGACCGGGACGAAGAGUCGCAUUCCCAGCCGAGUUAUCUGAUUGGGAGCCGCCCGGUCUCCGCCCCGUGGAUGCAUGGGGAAGAAGAACCCUCUGUCGACCAACUAGUUUCUGGUCCAGUGGGUGGAGACGAAGAAGAGGUUGACACGAAUGGCAUGGUCGAUGAUGAGCUAGGUCUGGUGGAUGGAAACGAAGAAUGUGCGUACAAUGAUGAUGUAUUUGAAGAAGAGCCAAUGAACGGGAACCUAGAAGGGGAAUUGUUUGAGGAUUCUGCCACGCCGACAGCAAAUUCUUCUUUUCUGAUGGAUUUUGUUGUGGACCAAGGUUCUAGAGGCGGUGGGAUCGAUAGGAGUAUUAGGCGAAGCAGUGUAAGCUCAAUUGUCAGCACACUGCGAAAUUCAAUGGAGGAAAGUGGCCCAAAUGCCACGAUUGGGUGUUCCCAUGAGGAAGAUUUUGUCCAGAAGUUGGGUUCUGUGCUUCUUCCAUGGGAGAGGGAAGAUGAUGAUGCGUUUGAUGGUGUAAGACAGGGGAACCGCAGCAAUACCGAGUUGGCAGAGAAAACUAUCCCAGAGCCGGAGCUGCGGAGGCUUAGAGAUGCGGCAUUGAGGAUGAAGGAGAGGAUGAGGAUUGGUCCAGGAGGGGUUACUCAGGCCAUCGUGAAGAGCAUUCACAGUAAAUGGAGUGUGGAUGAGGUGGUCAAGAUGAGGUUCGAAGGCCCUCCGAGCCUGAACAUGAAGAGAACUCACGAGAUACUAGAGGACAGGACCGGAGGAACUGUGAUAUGGAGGUCAGGAAGGUCAAUUGUUUUAUACCGGGGAAUGAACUACAACCUUCGAUGUGUUCAGUCGUAUGCCAAAAUAGCAGAGGUUGAUUCAUCUAAAAAAGUUAGUGAUGUGAGUACUGUUGUACCCAGUUGUGUGGAGCAUAAUUUGCAAAAGUCAAGUGCAGAUGGUGUGAAUCGUUCAACAUCUAUUGUUAGUUCCUCUCAAGGAGCUACAGAAACGUUUGAUAUCGAUAGCUUCUUAGAUCAGUUGGGACCACGGUACAAGGAUUGGUCUGGUCGCAGCCCCAUUCCUGUUGAUGCUGACUUGCUUCCCGGUGUAGUUCCUGACUACAAGCCACCAUUUAGGCAACUUCCUUACAGGACUAAACUUAGUUUGAGAGAUAAGGAAAUGACAGCUCUUCGUAGACUCGCAAGGCAAACUGCUCCUCAUUUUGCUCUAGGGAGAAACAGGGAACACCAAGGCUUAGCUAGUGCUAUAGUUAAGCUAUGGGAGAAAAGUACUAUUGUAAAGAUUGCCAUCAAGAGGGGGGUGCCAAACACAUGCAACGAUAGAAUGGCAGAAGAAAUCAAGAAAUUGACAGGAGGGGUGCUUAUUUCGAGGAACAAGGAGUAUAUUAUUUUCUAUAGGGGAAAUGAUUUCAUGACGCCCAAAAUAAGGCAGGUCUUGGUGGAACAGCAACAGCAAGCAAUCACUCAGCAGGAUCAGGAAGAGCUGGCUCGGCUCAAAGCAUCAGCAUCAAUUACUCUCAUCCCCAAUGCAUUAAAGAAUCCUCAAGUUGCUGGCACUCUUGCAGAAACUAGAGAGGCUGAAUCUCGAUGGGGAGAUUUAAUUAAUGAUGGGAGGAGGAAAAAGGAGAGGAAUCACUUGAUCUUGGCAAAACAUACCUCUCUUUUGAAGAAUAUGACAAGAAAGCUGAUUUUGGCGAAAACAAAAGUUGCAAAAGCAGAGAUGGCUUUGGCUAAAGUUCAGGAAUUCCUCUCUCCAGCAGAGCUUCCAACUGAUCUCGAAACUGUCACAGACGAGGAGCGCUUCUUAUUUCGCAGAAUUGGCCUGAAAAUGAAGGCCUUUUUGAUGCUUGGCAGACGUGAAGUUUUUGCUGGAACUGUGCAAAACAUGCACUUACAUUGGAAGCAUCGAGAAUUGGUCAAAAUUAUCGUGAAGGGAAAGAGCUUUGCACAAGUGAAACAUAUUGCUAUCUCUCUAGAAGCUGAGAGUGGAGGUGUGCUCAUUUCACUAGACAAGACAACAAAAGGAUAUUCAAUAAUUGUCUACCGGGGUAAGAACUACAAACGGCCCCAAAUUUUAAAGCCUCGGAACCUGUUGACAAGAAGAAGAGCUAUGGCACGGUCUAUAGAGCUCCAACGGCGAGAGGCAUUAAAUCAUCAUAUUUCCAUCCUGCGACAGAAGAUCUGGAAGUUGAAGUCACAACUUGCACAGAUGAGGGUUGCGGGGGGAAAACAGGACGCAGAUCUACUUCAAACAGUUGAGGAUGAUUUGUCCUCAGAUGAUGAUGAUAUAGAGGAUGAAGGGGAUGAAGCUUAUCUCCAAACUUACAUCAGCGACGGUGAAGAUGAUGCUGGCAAUGAAUCCAAUGAAUAUCUCUGAAUUGGUUCAGUUUUAACCGAUGAAACUCCAGUCCAGUGCUCUCUCCGGUAUAUGACUGCGUGUUCAGAACAAGGCAAAGCCCAAUAAGUGCCCAUGUGGUUCCAAAAUCUGGACUACUACAGUACAGUAAUAGCAUUCUUCUUACAAACAGGCGGACAUAUGACAAAGUUGAUGAUACACGGAUUUGCAAAACUGACAAGUCUGUGACCAGCAGCAUCAUUUGCAUCUAGUUCGAUCACCUCCAUGCACUUGCCAUAUUCUACAGAUUGAACAAGGUUUGUUCUGAGAAGAAGCUUGCAAGUGCAAAUGUAAACCAGGGUUCUGUACGUUCCUUUUGCAGCAGCUGUAAAUUACUGUAUGUCGCGUCUGUGAUCUAUUCUCCAGAUUCUGUAUUUAUGAUGUUUGGCAUGUCUGGAACGCACUGUUGCAUGAACCUUUUCAAAUCCA